rnacentral:rRNA from 1 species
UACAGGGGGGGCAAGCGUUGUUCGGAAUUACUGGGCGUAAAGGGCUCGUAGGUGGCCAACUAAGUCAGACGUGAAAUCCCUCAGCUUAACUGGGGAACUGCGUCUGAUACUGGAUGGCUUGAGUUUGGGAGAGGGAUGCGGAAUUCCAGGUGUAGCGGUGAAAUGCGCAGAUAUCAGGAGGAACACCGGUGGCGAAGGCGGAUCUCUGGGCCGAUACUGACGCUGAGGAGCGAAAGCGUGGGGAGCGAACAGG